AAGAGAGACUGACAAAUCAACGAGGCUCAAACACUUUUGCGGGUAAGUAGUUUCUCGUUUAUUAUUAUUAUCUUUAUUACAAAGUAAUUCACAAUUUAUAAUAAGCAAAACAUUUGUAAGAAAAUUAAUUCAAAAUUUAUUGUUUAAAAAUGGAUUAAUCUAUGAUUUUUAUAUCAAAAACAUUGUUAUAUAAAUUAAUCUAAAACUAUAAACUAGUUGGAUGAAACGUUUGAUUGGACUGGUAGUGUCCCUUUCAUUUCUUCCUCUACUUCUUUGAGAAAAAAUGUAAAUAACUGUUUUAGUUUUACAUUUUAAUCAUUAAACUUUUUUAAAAAAUUACUAUAUUGUUUCUUGUAACCCCUCAAACCGGGCUUAAAUGUUACGGCCCAAUCUAAAUGAUUACAUGGGCUAUAGAAAUGGCAAAAACUUGAGUUGAAAAAAUUUGAUUUAAUCUUUAGAAACGCGUGCUAGUUUUUCCCUUAAAUAUGAUGUUAUUAACUAUUACUUUGAAAGAAAUCUUGUUUAUUAUUUGUAAAACAUUGUAAUGAUCUUUAGAAUUUAAGUCCAUUCAAUUGAGUUUGCGGAAAAACGAAUUUUAUCAAGUAAAUACUAAAUCAUUUAAUCCAUGUUAAAAACCCAUGCAAAAUAUCCAAUAACCAAAGUUUUCAAAACGAAAUAUCCCAUGCCACAAUUCAAUAGUUUACCACAAAAUAAAAUCCUAAAUAAAAAUAAUAAAGUCCAUUCAAGUCUCAAAUUAAAAUAUAAGUUCAUAACCAUGAAAACCAUUUUUCCGAUAUCCUAUCCGGUGAUCGAAUCCGAGUCCUAAUCACGAAGGUUAUCUGAAACACAUGAAUAAUGUGAGUGAGCUUUAAAAGACUCAGUGUGAGAUCAAUACAAAAUAUAUUCGCAUACAUAUCAAAAUACACAUAUCAUUCAUGACAUAACAUACAUCAUUAAAUUCAUGGAAUAUAACAUUGAUAUUUAUGCAUGGAUAUAUCGAUGCAUAUUUUAUGAUGUAGUCUCAAUGCACGAUUUUAGACCCACGAAUGUGAUGGGUUCACAUUACCUUAAGGCCCAACAACAAUAUCAAAGGCCAAGCAAAUCAAAAGAUUUGAGGACGAAUCUUUUUGAGGAAAGGGAGAAUGAUACAUGCACGGAUGGGGUGAAAUUUAUUAAAUUCCAAUCACUAAAGCUGCCAAUUUUUAGGCUUGGGAAAUAAGCAAACUUGCGAUGACUUUUUAGAUAGGAUCCUGGCAUUUUUGGGUUGAGAUGUCUCAUGGCAUUUGAAGAUCUAUCUUUUAGCUUCGAAACGUAUUUUGAAUCACUCGAUUUUGAGUUUGGGAGCUCAAGUUGUGACCGUUUUAGUGAAGACUUCUC
rnacentral:lncRNA from 1 species